AUAUGUGAGGAUGAUCUGGCUGCCACAUCUGUCACUUCACUGAUUGCCAGGUUUGAUUUGGCUGAUCUGAUUGGCUAGAUGGGUAUCCCCUUCAUCCCUCUUAGCUUCAUGUGCAUCCUUCAUGAAGCUGCAGACUCAGUGAAGAAGAUGACCUUCCCCAAUAAAGGUGUAACAUUCUUCAGUCAAAGGUAUAUGAGUAGCUUGCACCCCCCCGCUAGAAUAAGCUCCCAAAGUCCAUUUAGUUCUUCUUUGCCUUAUUUAUUCCCAUGAUUUACAGUUUGUAUUUUUAAAU
rnacentral:snRNA from 1 species